CGUACCGACAUAGUUCGGGGCCUGGGGCGGCUUUUGAUGAGGGGGCCCUAUAGAAUAUAUUUAAAGAUGAAACUUUUCCUCAAAAUUUUUUGAAGGUGAAAGCUGCCCAGUGGACUGUAUUUUGAAUGUUGACGGAACAAUAACUAACUAACCAUUUGUAUAAUGUGGAGGUCUUUGCCGUCAUGGGGCCUGAUAAGUUAUUUAAAUUUUUUUUUAAAAUAUGUUUGGUUUUUUUCUGCCCAUCAUUUGGGGGCCUAUGCUGGUGCGGGGCCUGGGGCGGACCGCCCCACCGCCCCCCCCUACGGUACGCUACUGU